AAAAAUAUAUGUAAGUUAGUAUACUUAUCAGCUACUGAACCAAACUUAAUUGUGUAUGGAGAUUCCUUGAAUUUAGACGGUCGCCUAAUUUUUGGAGUUUGUUGUUCACGAUUUGCUUAUGAAUGUACAAUGAUGUUUUUUUUUUGGUUCACGUAGGCAUUGAGACUAGACAACAGCUCAUCAAGAAUUGUGAUUUGUGAAUCUGACCAAAUUGAUUCAUCUCUUUUUUCAUCGUUGGUUAAUACAUGAGUUUGCACGAGUAUUCUAACUUUCUCCUCUGAAUGAGUUUCAGCCACACCUG
rnacentral:lncRNA from 1 species